rnacentral:piRNA from 1 species
CUGCCCUUAAAGAGCAUCUACAUGCGACA